AAGUCAUUGACGAACUGAAGUUUCUCUGUGAAGUUUUGAGAUCUUUACUGUUGUUAGACUGCAAAUAUCUAAGAUACAUUCUCUACACAAAUGGAUUUCCGUCUGAAUAUUUGUCUGUUGUUCGUACUUUUCGUGGCAUUUUCAGAUGUUGAAGGCCAUGAACCUGUACAACAAAAAGCUUGUAACAUUGCAGUGGGCGGUUAUUGUAUCCCUGGGGGUGAGCUUUGUCCUCCGCCCGAUGUUCCGUGUGGCUAUGAAUGUCCUGAACCCUUUUAUCAAUGCUGUUGCUGACGUGAUGGAAAAUAAAACUGGAAUGGUGUAAUUUGGCAUCUGGUUUUUUCAGUUUACUUUGAUUAAUUAAAGGGGUAGAUUUAAAGUUUGAAACAUUACAGUUUAUAUAUUUGGGCGAAUAAACGAAUAU